rnacentral:rRNA from 1 species
GCUGGAUGCUGACGAGCGGCGGACGGGUGAGUAAUGCAUAGGAAUCUGCCCGAUAGUGGGGGAUAACCUGGGGAAACCCAGGCUAAUACCGCAUACGUCCUACGGGAGAAAGGGGGCUCCGGCUCCCGCUAUGGGAUGAGCCUAUGUCGGAUUAGCUAGUUGGUGAGGUAACGGCUCACCAAGGCCACGAUCCGUAGCUGGUCUGAGAGGAUGAUCAGCCACAUCGGGACUGAGACACGGCCCGAACUCCUACGGGAGGCAGCAGUGGGGAAUAUUGGACAAUGGGGGCAACCCUGAUCCAGCCAUGCCGCGUGUGUGAAGAAGGCCCUCGGGUUGUAAAGCACUUUCAGCGAGGAAGAACGCCUAGCGGUUAAUACCCGCUAGGAAAGACAUCACUCGCAGAAGAAGCACCGGCUAACUCCGUGCCAGCAGCCGCGGUAAUACGGAGGGUGCAAGCGUUAAUCGGAAUUACUGGGCGUAAAGCGCGCGUAGGUGGCUUGAUAAGCCGGUUGUGAAAGCCCCGGGCUCAACCUGGGAACGGCAUCCGGAACUGUCAAGCUAGAGUGCAGGAGAGGAAGGUAGAAUUCCCGGUGUAGCGGUGAAAUGCGUAGAGAUCGGGAGGAAUACCAGUGGCGAAGGCGGCCUUCUGGACUGACACUGACACUGAGGUGCGAAAGCGUGGGUAGCAAACAGGAUUAGAUACCCUGGUAGUCCACGCCGUAAACGAUGUCGACCAGCCCGUUGGGUGCCUAGCGCACUUUGUGGCGAAGUU